UACGGGGGGGGCAAGCGUUGUUCGGAAUUACUGGGCGUAAAGGGCUCGUAGGUGGCCAACUAAGUCGGACGUGAAAUCCCUCGGCUUAACCGGGGAACUGCGUCCGAUACUGGUUGGCUUGAGUUUGGGAGAGGGAUGCGGAAUUCCAGGUGUUGCGGUGAAAUGCGUAGAUAUCUGGAGGAACACCGGUGGCGAAGGCGGCAUCCUGGACCAAUACUGACGCUGAGGAGCGAAAGCCAGGGGAGCAAACGGG
rnacentral:rRNA from 1 species